GGGGCCGUAGUUAAGUUGGUCAUAACGCCGGCCUGUCACGCCGGAGGGCGCGGGUUCGAGUCCCGUCGGCCCCGCCA
rnacentral:tRNA from 1 species